rnacentral:rRNA from 1 species
GCGUUGUCCGGAAUCAUUGGGCGUAAAGCGCGUGUAGGCGGCUCGAUAAGUCUGCUGUGAAAGUCCAAGGCUCAACCUUGGGAUGCCGGUGGAUACUGUCGAGCUCGAGUCCGGAAGAGGAGUGUGGAAUUCCUGGUGUAGCGGUGAAAUGCGCAGAUAUCAGGAGGAACACCAAUGGCGAAGGCAGCACUCUGGGACGUGACUGACGCUGAGACGCGAAAGCGUG